rnacentral:rRNA from 1 species
UUCCUACGGGACGCAGCAGUGAGGAAUAUUGGUCAAUGGGCUUACGCCUGAACCAGCCAAGUCGCGUGAGGGAAGACUGCCCUAUGGGUUGUAAACCUCUUUUGUCAGGGAGCAACGCCGGCUACGUGUAGCCGGACUGAGAGUACCUGAAGAAAAAGCAUCGGCUAACUCCGUGCCAGCAGCCGCGGUAAUACGGAGGAUGCGAGCGUUAUCCGGAUUUAUUGGGUUUAAAGGGUGCGUGGGCGGACUGUCAAGUCAGUCGUGAAAUACCGAAGCUUAACUUCGGGGCUGCGAUUGAAACUGCC